rnacentral:rRNA from 1 species
CCAAUAGCGUAUAUUAAAGUUGCUGCAGUUAAAAAGCUCGUAGUUGAAUUUCGGGACCGAUAUGUCGGUCGUGCCUCGGUACGUACUGGUAUUUUCGGUUUCCACCUUCUGACGAACCUUGAUGUCAUUAAUUUGGUGUCUUGGGGAAUCAGGACUGUUACUUUGAAAAAAUUAGAGUGUUUAAAGCAGGCUCACGCUUGAAUACAUUAGCAUGGAAUAAUGAAAUAGGACGUUUGAUUCUAUUUUGUUGGUUUCUAGGAUCGACGUAAUGAUUAAUAGGGAUAGUUGGGGGCAUUAGUAUUCAAUUGUCAGAGGUGAAAUUCUUGGAUUUAUUGAAGACUAACUGCUGCGAAAGCAUUUGCCAAGGAUGUUUUCAUUAAUCAAGAACGAAAGUUAGGGGAUCGAAGACGAUCAGAUACCGUCGUAGUCUUAACCAUAAACUAUGCCGACUAGGGAUCGGAUGAUGUUAAUUUUUUAAUGACUCAUUCGGCGCCUUACG